UCAAGGUCGUCUCCCUCUCCUUCCAUCUCCUGUACCAGCACAGCCACCGCCGCGAGCUAGGGUUACGGCCCAGCGAGCUCAAGAACCAAUCUCCCUCCCUCAAGAUCUUCACUGAAUCCAAUCGCCGCUCUCUCCCUCUUUUGUACCAAUGCGCCAGCCGCCAGGCGAUUUUGGGUUAGUAAAUUUCACUCAAUCUCUCUCAAUCCUGUACCAAUCGAGCGACGUCUCACUCAAAUAUCUGCGUUUUUGAAAUUUCUAGCAGCAGCCUACCACCGGAACAUCUGAAGAGUGCCCUGAUUUCGCCUUUGGCAGUGGUCGCUCGUUGUGAGCGCAUCGGCGACUCAACCUACCACCGCCACCGCCGUCAGCAGCACUGACCAUCUGCAGCAGCUCAAGGAUCUUGGUAUGUUUGCUUCUUCCUUUAUCCAUUUGUUAAGGGUAUUUUUGCUAUUACAAUUUCGUCCACGCCUUUCCCCCAUUCUGCUUAAACCAGUGGCAGAGAGAUAAGCAUGAGCAAUGUUGUUCUAGUUGACUGAAAAGGCAUACUUUUGUUGAUUCAGAAUUGAAAUAGUGUGUUGUGGGUACCAAAUUAACAUACGAGCAGUAUAUUUGUACAAUCUUCAUGUCAAUUACAAGGGAUGUACUCCCUAUUUUCAUGCAGGUUAGUAACCCAUGGCUUGCAAAAUGUCGGUGUUCCUUAUAAUAUAUCUGCAAAACCUCAUAGAUUGAACGUUCCUAUAAUUGGUCACUAGCUAUAAGUAGUAGCUGCCAUUUUGUUUCUUGUAUUGUACGACUGACUGAUGGUUGUUCUAAAAGGACUGAUCAGCAUUGCACGUUCAGUACUUAACAAAAACUUCUUUAUCUGACUACCGCCGAGCCAAAACAAAUAUGUAUCUCCAAUGUUGCAUCACUUUUUCCUCUAGUAGUGAACUGUCCUUUAUAUUCUAAAAAUCUGAUACUUUGGAAUCCAUGUUUUAUAUGUAGCAACCCCUUUAUAGAGGAUAAUCCAUCGUUAUUUUCUAUAUCAUGGUUUUAUGGUUGUUCCAGAGCAGACUAUUCGCUACUAUUCAGAUUCAGGGCCAUCUUGCCCGCUCCAACAAUAUUUUUGCCUUUGAUAAGCAUGGAAAAAAUGCAAGCAUCGCCUUCCUUCGCAUCUUCACCAGGCUUCAAACCGAUUAGCUGGAGGCAUGAACUAGGAGGUCAAAGAAUCAGCCAAUGCUGAUGAAUUAUGGUUGGGUAAUCUUCGUAGGAGUUAUCUUCAUGUCUCCCAAGAUGACAGAUGAUGAAACUGAUAAUUUCACCUCUUGUGCUAGUUCCGAUCUGGUUAUCCAGGCUUUGUUUUCUUUGGCACCAUGUAAUCAGCGAGAAUGUACAUUUGUUAGAAAAAAUAUGGCAAGCUUUUUGUACUUUAGAUGUGUGGUUGUCAUACAAUUUAUGUGGAUGCUUGUGAUGCAUGGAAGAAUCUAAAGAAAAUGUGUUCAGAGAUCUCUUG
rnacentral:lncRNA from 1 species